UACGAAGGGGGCGAGCGUUGUUCGGAUUUACUGGGCGUAAAGGGCGCGCAGGCGGUUCUGUUUGUCGAGUGUGAAAGCCCCGGGCUCAACCUGGGAACUGCGCUCGAAACGGCGGAACUAGAGUUCGGGAGAGGAGAGUGGAAUUCCCAGUGUAGAGGUGAAAUUCGUAGAUAUUGGGAAGAACACCGGUGGCGAAGGCGGCGACCUGGGCCAAUAUUGACGCUGAGGUGCGAAAGCGUGGGGAGCAAACAGG
rnacentral:rRNA from 1 species